GGCUACGUAGCUCAGCUGGUUCAGCACUUGCCGUGUUGAGGCAUGCUGUGUCUGUAGCUGGUUCGGAUCCAGCCGAAGCCC
rnacentral:tRNA from 1 species